CACGGUGGAGACCGCUGGCGCUAAGUCAGAGGAGGGGGUGGUCGACGGUGGGUCAGUAUGCCCCGAAUAUCCCGGGCUACACGCGGGCUACAAUGGACAGGACAAUGGGCAACUACACCGAAGGGUGGCGUCAAUCUCUUAAACCUGUCCUUAUUUCGGAUUGAGGGCUGUAACUCCCCCUCAUGAAGAUGGAAUCCGUAAUAAUCGCAUUUCAAAACAGUGCGGUGAAUACCUCCCUGCCCCUUGCAA
rnacentral:rRNA from 1 species